rnacentral:misc_RNA from 1 species
UACACACUGUGGCUUGGUUGUCAGGUCUGCAGGGAGGUGUUCAUUGCAGCUCGUGCAUGCUUACAUCUAAUGAGUGGAAGAACUAUCCCCCUUCCCCCCUCAAAAUAGAAGAAUAUGAGCUCCGCUAAUGCCACAUCUUCCACAGAAUCCGGGGAUGGUGACAGAGUGCAACAGCGGCAGCGGCAGCAGCUGAGUGCUGGUGCUGGCCAGUCACCACACAUCACGAAGGAGAACAUCGAUUCGUUCAACUACUUCCAGCUAUUCGGUCUGGCUACUCCGACCGCUACCUCGGCGGCUGCCUCCACAGGAGGUAGCGGUGGUGGUAGUGAUGCCGCCAUCCCUGACAUCGACGUGGCGGCGGUGCGCCGUGUGUACCGCCGUCUGAGCCUGCGCUUCCACCCGGACAAGGACGACUCUGAAGAGGCGCGCCACGCUUUCGAGGUGGUACAUACGGCACUCGAGACGAUUAUCGACCCGACGAAGCUUGCUGCCUAUCUUAAAACUCUCGUUGAAGGCAGUGGUGCUGGCGGCAGUCGCGUCCCCGGUGAGGAGGCGCGCCAGCGUCAACGAGCGCAUCAGGCUCAUGUCGAGGCCCAGUGGGCAGCCACGAUGCUUGUGCAGCGGGCGCAGGAACGUCUGGCAAAGGAGGCGGCGGCGCGGCAGGCUGCCCAGGAGCGGGAGGAGGCAACGCAAAGACUUCUGUCCGAGCUGACGAGUUCGUUGAACACACCGUUUCAGUUGAUGGAGGCGGAGCUGGUCCGCGACUGGGACGUGGAUGAGGAAAUGGUGGCAAUAAAAACCAAGGAGGUGACGAAGGUGCUGCGCCAACUGGAGUCGGCCGACGGUGCGUGGGCGUCUUACCUAAUGCACGAAGGAGCACCGCGCAAGCGAAACCGCGAGGACACGGCACGGUGAUAUACCUGAUGCAGCCUUGCGCUGCCGUUCUACAUCUCUCUCCGGUUCUCGU